rfam:Leucobacter komagatae strain VKM ST2845 L_komagatae_06, whole genome shotgun sequence.
CACAUCCGCUGGGGGGGCCCGAAGGGGCUGAGAUCCACUACUUGCUGUGGACCACCCCAGGAACCUGAUCUCGUUAACACGAGCGGAGGGAAGCGGUCAAUAUGUUGA